rnacentral:misc_RNA from 1 species
CCUUUUCUCGACAUAUCGCUGUUUGAGAAGGUCAUUUGAUGCUUUACGUUUGUUAUAAGUUGCUUGCAAUAUUUUUGAUGCAAGUUCAGUAUUAACUCUUGUAAAAUUUUAUGAAAAAUAUAGAAACAUUUAUUGAGAACAAAAGGAAUCGCACACCAUUUUCCCGUGUUUGUCAAUAUUGUUCAAUGUAAAUGUAGUCCCAGCUUUAUAUUUUUUUUUCUGCCGGAGAUGACAAGGGUUUCCCUUUACAGUUUCGCUGUCUGACUUUCUGUGUUUGCUAUGUAUUGUCGGAGUCCGCCGACCCAGAAGGAUCCGGUCUGGCCAGCGUGCUAAUGGAAGUUAACUAUUCGUUUGAUUCUGAAUGCAACACCUCAGAAAUUAAUAUGGAAAAUGUCAUUGAAAUGACAGAUAGGGGUUUCUCUUGAGAGCGACUUUAGAUGACAUUCGAAUCGAUUACAAAUGCUGUGUACGGUGUGUUAUUUACGGGAUUACGGGUUUUUCAUUCAUCAAAAUGAGAGCCCCAUUGGCUGUCUCUGAUAACUCGGCUCUUACCGACAUCGAGUCGCCAGAGGCAUCGCCGACCAACAAAAUGACGUCAUCAACAAGAGUCAGUUCAAACACAGACGAAAUUGACAUUGUGUUCUCGGCAGCGCCAAUAAAUUCAGAAACCGACGCUCGAGAGAUUGGGAAUGGCAGACGGCGAAAGAAAGGAAGUGAAAGAAGUUUGGGAGAAUUCUCGCGCCGGAAGAGCGUGCGGAACUUGGUCCGGCGACGUCUGAGCAGCUUCCAUGAACAGAUUCCCGUCAAAAUACAAAACUUUCUCUUAAAAUAUACACUGUUCAUAUUCAAUUUUAUGUCUUGGGCGGACUCGGGGCGGUGGCCGUUGGCACGUGGCAACUGACAGACGACGAGAAGGUCAUCACGGACGCCGUGGACUUCGUCCUUGACCCCUUCAUCAUCAUCUGUAUCAUCGGUGCUAUCACAUUCACUAUUGCCUUUCUCGGUUGUGUGGGUGCCGUGAGGGAACACGUUCUGUUGCUUAAAUCUUUUUAUAUUUGUCUUUCAAUCGUCCUGGUGAUAGAGUUGGUGUGUGGGGGCUUAAUCAUCGUGUGUUACACAGAGCCGGCGGCCAGGGACAUAUUACGCCUCACCCCACAAACACUGUUGAAACGGGCUAUACUGCAGUACAUGGACGACAAAAGUAUAAGGAAACUCAUGGAUACUAUUCAACGGCAGUUUACCUGUUGUGGCAUCAGUGCUACAGACGAGGGCUACAAGGACUGGAGACUGAACAUGUACUACAACUGUACAGAGCAGAACCCGAGCAUCUUCCGGUGUGCUGUGCCUGAAUCCUGCUGUAUCUACUACCCGGGCGAGAGGAUGAACACGAUGUGUGGCUUCGGAAAAACAAAUAAAGAAUUAGGUGAAGUACAGGGCUGGAUCUACACUCGAGGCUGUACUAAAGGUUUUGAGGAAUGGCUGUCAAAACACGAGUACAUGAUCCUAUUCACCAGCUGUGUUGUCAUGUUUAUGCAAUUUCUUGCAGUGAUAUUUGCAAGGAUCUUCUCCAAGAGAGUGGAGCGACGAAUUCAGUGGCAGAACCUUCGUUAUCAAGCCGAAGACAGCUAGCGUUCUCAAAGACACUGGGUACAAAUACUGGAGCAACCGUCUGAAGCCAGUUCUUAAUAUGCACACGUUAUGAUCAAAUUAUGAAUAUAUUUGUCAAGUUGACAAAAUAUUUCUCGAUUUACUAUGUAUGUAAACGCAGCAUUUGUGAAAUUUGUCACAAAAUUAAUAAUUUGUACAUGAAAAUUAUGUUUUGUAAUUUGUAAAUAAAAACAAUGUUUUGUAUAUAUUUUUAAUAAACGACAUAUAUUGUUCACUUUU